GAUGAACGCUGGCGGCGUGCCUAAUACAUGCAAGUCGAGCGAACAGACGAGGAGCUUGCUCCUCUGACGUUAGCGGCGGACGGGUGAGUAACACGUGGAUAACCUACCUAUAAGACUGGGAUCACUUCGGGAAACCGGAGCUAAUACCGGAUAAUAUAUUGAACCGCAUGGUUCAAUAGUGAAAGACGGUUUUGCUGUCACUUAUAGAUGGAUCCGCGCCGCAUUAGCUAGUUGGUAAGGUAACGGCUUACCAAGGCAACGAUGCGUAGCCGACCUGAGAGGGUGAUCGGCCACACUGGAGCUGAGACACGGUCCAGGGUCCUACGGGAGGCAGCAGUAGGGAAUCUUCCGCAAUGGGCGAAAGCCUGACGGAGCAACGCCGCGUGUGUGAUGAAGGUCUUCGGAUCGUAAAACUCUGUUAUUAGGGAAGAACAAAUGUGUAAGUAACUAUGCACGUCUUGACGGUACCUAAUCAGAAAGCCACGGCUAACUACGUG
rnacentral:rRNA from 1 species